UAAAGCGUCGUAGCUGGCCGCACAAGUCCGUCGGGAAAUCCACUCGCUUAACGAGUGGGCGUACGGCGGAAACUGUGCGGCUUGGGACCGGAAGAUCCAAGGGGUACGUCCGGGGUAGGAGUGAAAUCCCGUAAUCCUGGACGGACCACCGUAUGGCGAAAGCACCUUGGAAGGACGGAUCCGACAGUGAGGGACGAAAGCUAUGGUCUCGAACC
rnacentral:rRNA from 1 species